GAUGAACGCUGGCGGCGUGCCUAAUACAUGCAAGUCGAGCGAACAGACGAGGAGCUUACUCCUCUGACGUUAGCGGCGGACGGGUGAGUAACACGUGGAUAACCUACCUAUAAGACUGGGAUAACUUCGGGAAACCGGAGCUAAUACCGGAUAACAUGUUGAACCGCAUGGUUCAACAGUGAAAGACGGUCUUGCUGUCACUUAUAGAUGGAUCCGCGUCGCAUUAGCUAGUUGGUAAGGUAACGGCUUACCAAGGCAACGAUGCGUAGCCGACCUGAGAGGGUGAUCGGCCACACUGGAACUGAGACACGGUCCAGACUCCUACGGGGGGCAGCAGUAGGGAAUCUUCCGCAAUGGGCGAAAGCCUGACGGAGCAACGCCGCGUGAGUGAAGAAGGUCUUCGGAUCGUAAAACUCUGUUAUUAGGGAAGAACAAAUGUGUAAGUAACUAUGCACGUCUUGACGGUACCUAAUCAGAAAGCCACGGCUAACUACGUG
rnacentral:rRNA from 1 species